rnacentral:rRNA from 1 species
AUGCUGGGCAAGAUGAAUGGCAAGACCUUGCUGAUGCUGGUUGAUUCGGGUUCUUCGCAUAGCUUCAUCAACUCAGAGAUUGCCAGCGAUUGGCAUGGAGUGCAGCCUAUGGUCAAGAAACUGAGAGUGAAGGUGGCUGAUGGUGCAGUGACCACUUGUGACGCUGAGUUACCAGAUUGUGUGUACCAAAUUCAAGGUCAUCAAUUCCGAUCAACUUUGAAAUUGUUUCCAUUGGGUAGUUAUGAUGUGAUUUUGGGAAUGGAUUGGCUGGAAUCUCGAGGGCUCAUGACUGUCAACUGGGGUAGCAAGUACAUGGUUUUCCAACAUCAAGGCCAAUUUAUUCAGUCGCACGGAGUUUCAGCCUCAGUUCAGGAAUGUCCACCGAUUUCAACUGUUGAGUUGCAGCUUCUGCAAACUCAGGAAUCAGUGCUGCGAGUGGUGCAGUUGUGUUCAGUUAAAGAUGAUGCUGAGGCUGCCGUAAUUCCAAAGGCGGUGACAGCUUUAUUGGAGGAAUUUGCAGAACUGUUUGAAGAGCCUCGAGGAUUGCCACCCCAACGGUCCUUCGAUCAUACAAUCGAUUUGCUGCCCGGGGCGACACCAGUCAACAUCAGGCCCUAUCGAUACAACCCGGCGCAGAAGGAUGAGAUCAAAGCGCAAGUGGCCGACAUGUUGAAACAAGGGAUCAUUCAAGUCAGCCGUAGCCCCUUCGCAUCCCCUGUGCUCUUGGUACAGAAAAAAGAUGGGGAGUGGCGUUUUUGCAUUGAUUUCCGCCAUCUUAAUGCUAUCACUAUCAAGAAUAGGUACCCCCUACCCGUGAUUGAUGAGCUUUUGGAUGAACUACAAGGAGCCAAGUGGUUCACAAGUAUGGAUUUGCGCUCGGGCUAUCAUCAGAUUCGCAUGAGGCCUUCAGAUGAAGCAAAAACAGCCUUUCAAACGCAUCACGGUCAUUUCGAGUUCAAGGUGAUGCCAUACGGUGUGACAGGGGGACCAACAACUUUCCAAGGUGGGAUGAAUAUCAUGCUGAAGCCGUACUUGAGAAAAGGGGUUCUAGUCUUUAUUGACGACAUCUUAAUGUACAGCAUCACCUUGGAAGAACACAUUCAGCUUAUGCGAUCAGUGUUUCAGACUCUGAAAGAGAACCAAAUGAAAGUGAAGCGAAGCAAGUGUGUCUUUGCCUGCAAGCAACUGCGGUACCUGGGGCAUGUCAUCAGUGAAGAUGGGGUGAGAACAGACCCAACUAACGUCGAUAAGGUGCGAGAUUGGCCAAGUCCGCAAUCAGCCAAAGAGGUGCGCCAAUUCCUUGGCUUAGCUGGGUAUUACCGGAAGUUUGUGAGGCACUUUGGCAUUAUCAGUCGACCCCUGAUGGAGUUGCUUAAGAAAGGGGUGGUCUUUCAAUGGACACCACAACAUGAAGAGUCCUUCCAAGCGCUAAAAACGGCAAUGACUACUGCACCGGUCCUUGCACUGCCCAACUUUUCAAAACCCUUUGUGGUCGAAACUGAUGCUUCGGACCGUGGAAUUGGUGCAGUUCUAAUGCAGGAUCAUCGCCCAAUUGCGUUCUUAAGCAGACCCUAG